rnacentral:rRNA from 1 species
UACGUAGGGUCCGAGCGUUGUCCGGAAUUACUGGGCGUAAAGAGCUCGUAGGUGGUUUGUCGCGUUGUUCGUGAAAACUCACAGCUCAACCGUGGGACUGCAAUCGAUACGGGCAGGCUAGAGUUCGGUAGGGGAGACUGGAAUUCCUGGUGUAGCGGUGAAAUGCGCAGAUAUCAGGAGGAACACCGGUGGCGAAGGCGGGUCUCUGGGCCGAUACUGACGCUGAGGAGCGAAAGCGUGGGGAGCGAACAGG